AAAAAAUUAAAGGCGAAGAAUCGCACAUGGAGAGAGAUUCUCAAUUGUUUUUAAAUCAUUUACUUAGAAUUGUUUAACUGUUAGAAUUAUUCGUGUAUAUUUCAUUCAUAGCGCUCAUGCACAGUGACGACAUUUGGAGAAUGACAAAAAUAAAAAGUGCUCUACUAAUGCUGGAAUGACUUGUGAUUGGUCAUGCUACUACUUGAAUGCUGUGGAAUUAUUGACAAAUGAAGAUGCAUUAGGACAGGCAUUCAAAAAUAUACUUACGUCUCAUCUCCAAAUCUGAGCGAAUGAAAGCGAGCGAAAAUAUUGAUAAUAAGCUGUCAGUAAUGCAAUUGAUCAUGUGAAUGUAAACGGAAAGAAUAAAAGCGCCAAAGUUCAUGUAACUUA